rnacentral:rRNA from 1 species
GAUGAACGCUGGCGGCGUGCCUAAUACAUGCAAGUCGAGCGAGAAUCUGAUGAAUGGAGAUUCGUCAAAAUGAAUCAGAGGAAAGCGGCGGACGGGUGAGUAACGCGUAGGCAACCUGCCCUUAGCAGAGGGAUAGCCAUUGGAAACGAUGAUUAAAACCUCAUAAUGCUUUUGAGUCACAUGUCUUAAAAGCCAAAGAUUUAUCGGCUAAGGAUGGGCCUGCGUCUGAUUAACUAGUUGGUGAGGUAACGGCUCACCAAGGUGACGAUCAGUAGCCGACUUGAGAGGGUGAUCGGCCACAUUGGAACUGAGACACGGUCCAAACUUC